UAGAAAAAAUGAUAGUACCUAAUAUUGUGACUAACUUGCUGAUCAUCAUAUUGUAUUAUAUCUUUUCCUCUCAUUGGGCAAUUUCUUAAGACUCAUGUGGCAGAAGAAAGAAGGUUAAUUUGGCAACCAGGCAGAGCAGAAGCUACAUCAGGAAGAUGGGGCAGCAUGAGAAGAUUUUCACAGGGGUAAGGGUCUGUAGAGCAAGAUACAGCAACACUCUGUAAGUAAAGAUCAGAAAGGCAUAACUCUGGUUGGUUAUCACAACCAUGACAAUCACCAAGGUCACAUGUGACAAGAACAACUGCUGCCCUUGAUACUUACAAUCUGACACUCAUCAGGAGGUUUAUGACCUCUUUGAGAGGAAGACCGUAUAAUUUGGUGAGAGUAACACUGAGCUCAGGUUGACACAGAUAUGAUAGGAGUUGGAAAAUGACCCUCUGGGCUUAGUGCCACAUAAAUGUGGUCAGAGAACUGGAAGGGGAAGCUCAGUACCAGGCUAUUGGACUUUGAGGAACAUAAUGACAUGGUUGAAAACCUGUGUUCUGUUUGGAAAAGUGUGAGGAAAAAGAGAUAUAAUGAAAAAUAUCAUCAUUUUGUGAAAUCUGAUUUCUUCUUCUUCCUUAAACACUUUUGGUCCACUCAAACUAGAGUUUUAUAAAAUGACAACAACAGAAAAAGACAAUGUAUUUUAAUUAAAAAAAAAAAAAAAAAAAUGAAAGCCACCGCCUUUCACAAAUUUAGAGGGAAAACAUAAUUUUGGGAUUUUGGGGAAGAUUGUACUCGAACACAAUCAUGCUGAACAGCCAGCCCUGGGAGAGAGAUACUGCACAGGUCUCAAACAGCUAAUCCUGUAAUGAAAGAGAGCAAAAGAGCAGAGCUGGAAUAGCUGGCUCCAGCUACAUAUGAAGCAUGACACUAAUGGUAGAGAGUGUCUCUCAUUGGCCAGCCUGGAUGUCAAUCUAGAUGCUGACCUGUUAUUCUCCCUCCUAGCUUCUAUGUGCACCUGCAGCUAAAAAACUGAAAAAAUCCUUUUUCUCCUUGACAACAGUCAAACAUCAUCCUCACAUUCUUUUCAUACCAAGUCCAAAACACAGCCUAGCUACUGGGAAGAAAAAAAUUAACUCUGUCCCAGGGACAAGCAUGUGAAGUUCAGUGUGUUAUCACAUUAUUUUCAUCUUAAAUCCAAACUAAAAGACCCUGCUAGCUACUAAAGAGAAAAGAUUCUAACUGUAUGAAGAAAAUUAACUCAAUCACAGAAAAAACAGCACAAUUAUUUAGUGUCUGUUUUAGAUGGCAAUGGACAAUUUAAGCUCACAAAUCCCUGCUUGUCUGCAAAAACUACCACUGAAUUUAAUGUAAAAAGGCAAGACCUUACUUAUGUUAUAAGAUGCUAUGAAUGAUUUCUGACAUUUAGAAGAUGUAUUUUCAAGUAAAAGAACAAUAAGAAGCAUGGCUAAUCUUUCACUGCUUAAAGAAGUGAUUUAUUUCUUAAAAUUGUUAGAAAAUGCAUCAGAAUAAUUUUAUUCAUUUGCUUUUGAAAUGAAAUGUAGAUCCCUAGGGCAAGUACUGUCUUCCAGUGACGUAUGUAUAAAACUUGGUCCUUGACUGAAAUUUCUAGGUACUGCUGCACUGCAAUUUAUAAACAUCUGCAAUAAAAUGCCUCUUGCAGAAUGUGUUUGAAUCUGAUUCAAGAAUGAAUAAGUCACUUCUAAAGAUUCUGGCAAAUAAUUUCCAGUUGUCUCUUGUACACAUGCUGAGCUACCAGUAAUCUGCUAAUUAAUCUUAAAAUUAACACAGUCUGCAGCCCGCAGGAAAGCAUGCAGCAAGUCUUCAGUCAUAUGCAAUCUUCAACUCAGACCUUUAAUAAAUAUACUGAGAUGGUCAUUUAAUAAAGGCUUUCAUCAGAGGUUUGAUGUUUUUUGCUCUGCACUAAACUGCAGAAAGAACUUAUGAAUAAGAAAACUAAAUUGCAUAUGAUAGUCUGCGAAUCAAAUAUAGCUGAUUACGCCAGCUCCAAGUAUCUGGAAUAGGUGUGUGAGAGAAUAUCCCUUGUCAAAGAGCUUUAUACUCCCUUUACAGCUCCUUGAAGAAGAUGAACCUGUAUUUCUGAAGGAACUUUUUGAGAUUAUUUUGAACCUCUGUCUUAUGCCAGAAAUUAACUUUAAAAAAACCUGCUGAUGAGACUGCAGAUCAUCCUCUGCUUAGAAUGACUCAAACACAUAUAUUCAAGGGGGAAAAACAAAUAGCUUUUUUUCAUGAGCCAGGGGAAACAGGAGGCUUCAAGAUCACAAAGAGACUACUAUGUUACCCUGGGCUACAGCGUGGAGUGGAGUGCCUAAAAGGAAUAUAACACGUUAGGCCUGUAUGAACUGACAUGCCACAAUCUCAGUGACUUUGUUCUUGUGAUGUCUGAACUGGCUGAUCCAGUUUUGAAGAGCUUUGUAUGACACUUCAUGUCAUACUGACAUUCCUGUUGGGAUAUACAGGUCAUAUCCUCACACUAUGGCUCCCUUCCCUCUUCCCUUAGUCUCACUUCAAAAGUGUUCCUACUUAGUUUGGGGCUGCAGGACCACAUUUAGGGCAAGAGGCACAUGGUGCUGAAGUUCUGCUGAUCUAAACCCACCCAGACCUUUUAUAUACAGUUGUGAAAAAUCAGACCGAUUCACUGCGUAUGCAUUCUCUCAGCGUUUCAGCAUGUUAACCUUUUCUCUUGGUGAUGUUGGGUAAUUUAAAGGAAAAAACAGUAGUAAUUAUUUUAUAUAUUAGGAAUUCAAAAACUUGUGUAUGAUAUCUGCCAUGUUUGUAUCGUGGGUCUGUCUCAACCAGUAGGCACUAUUUCAAUCAAAACAUUUUGUGAACAAAGUCAAUUUUUGGCACAGCUUCAACUAUUUAGCUAGCUGGAACUUAAAUACUCUAUUUUUACAGCUAUUUGAAAAUGGAUUUAUGGGUUUGCAGUAAGUCCAUUUUUGCUGUAUUAACACUGUUUGAAAAGACAUCUUUCAAAUCUAAGGUCACAGUUUCAGCUAGUCAUGAACAAUGCAUCAUUUUCAACUCUGUUAUUAGUAUUUAUAAUUUUACAGGAGCAGCAGUCUAAAAUAUAAACUGUGGCUGUGUUAUUAUGGCAGUAAUCAUUUGACCAACACUGAUCUUUUGGAAGUCUUGUAAUUAUUUUUUUUCCCCUCAAUCUAUGAUUACCUAAAGGAUUUCAGGUUUUUCUAAAGUACAGUUUAAAAUUUAUUAUAUUUGAUUUUUUUCCCUAUUAAGCCACAAAUCAGAAGUUUUUAAUCAGUUGUGCCAGUGUUCAGUGUAGAAUAAAACCUGGCAUUAUAAACACUGAAUGUACUUUUGUUAGAGGAAGCAGACCUUUCAAGCUUUCAUUCUUCAAAGUAUGUGCUUGUCAAAAUCAGAAAAAAGAGGGGAGGGAAAUGACAUAUUGUAUGGUAACAAACAAACAAAUAAAACACAAAGGAUUUUUCUUUUCAAACCUGGCAUGUACUCCAAAAUAGUUCUUGCCAUGGGAACACUUGAUUAAUCUCAGCAGCUUCCACUUUUCCCAGUUGGGUACGGUCCUGUCAAGUCUCAUAAUUGCAAAUGCAAAGCUGUUUUACAUACAAUAAUGGAUGAUUUGGUGUUCCUGCUCAUUUUGCCAAGCUGCAGAAGUGUAUUCUCAAGUAUAUGAGCAUGUCACUGGAGAGUGUAUUUACGCAAGGGAAAAUGUGCCCCAAAGUAAUUUACAAUCAGCCCUGUUCUAGCAAAAUAGAAGGAACAUGUUGUCCUCCCUGGAGCACUGUGACGCAGUGUCAGUGGUAUAAAAUUAGACAUGGCUGAGACUGGUUCAUUUGAAUGGUUGUAUGAUGGACACCUGGUUUUGAGUCCUGCACUGGGUUUGUGGCUUCCUUUGUGUGCGAAAGGACUCAAGCCUGUCACAUGCAUUUACGUGGGUCAGUAGGGCCAGGUUCUGCAGAUCUCUGCCUUAAAGCAGUAGGAGAUUCAUGGCUUCAGUAUAUGUUGAAUAUGGAUACAAGAGAGACACAGAGGGUGGGGAAAGAGAGAGAGGGGGAAAGAUAGAGAAAAAUUGCUCUAAUACCUCCAGCCUUCAGCAGGGAAGAUGGUGAUCUCUGUGGUCAGUCUCCCUGUGGUCAGUCUUCCAACAUUUUAGGAGUCACCUUUCUGAAUUCUUAUAUAUAGUGAGGUCCUGGAUGGGAAACCAAACUAUAAAUGGAUAAUUAUAUGCAGAACAAUGUGUGUAUGCAUAUACAACAUUUUAAUGCUACUUGUAUAUAGACUAUCUAUUUAAAUUUUUUAUAUACACUUAUAAAAUAUGAGAGCCUUAUGUUAGAGGAUUCUUCCAUUACUGCAGCUAUUGCAAAUCAGUGCAAUGCUACAGAAUAGCAGGAUAAUUAAAGUACUAAUUGCAGGGCUAAUCUCUCUCUGCCUGUUGGAGUGCAGUCUUGAUGCCUGACCGUGGAUAACAGUAUGGAAAACAUUUGGAGUAUCAGAGCUGACUUCGCUACUUCGAUCUUAGGUCUUUAGUUGCAAUGAAAAGAUUAAUUGCAUAGCAAAAUAUACCGGGAACUCUCAAGUAUGCCUAGUUACACUUUUCUAUAAUGCAAGAACCAGGGACUUUCAGUUUUUAUAAUUAAGAGGUACUUACAAAGGUAGAAGGAAAUAUUGUUACAUAUGUGCUGGGACUGGCCUUAGAAACUGGAGCUGAAGAGAUCCCUAAUUGGUGGUGCUUUCCAAAUUUUCAUUAUGCAGGCUAAACUUUCUGAGGCAGGUGCAGACUUGAAUGAUUAUUGUUUUUUCUACCUAGCAUCCCCAAUAGUGUUUGUACGCAUCUCAAUGUGAUCUUUAACAGUGCAGUUACACACUCUGUUCUUCAACUCACAUUUUUGAGGCACAGGAUUUUGAGGGUGGAGAGGGGGAGGAGGAAGGGAACAGGGUCUGGCUGCCCUUCACCUGCUGCAGCACUGACAUUGGUGGUGCUCCCAGCCUUGUCCCGUGUCUUCUCCACAGAGCCAGGAAGAAGCGAUUGCUCUGCAGGGUCUUGCCAGUAGUGCCUGUUGUGCAGCCCACAGCCCAUCUUGGCAAUGUAAUUUCUUUCCAAUGGUCAUGAAAUCUUUUGGUUGAGCCUUCUUGCUCCUGGGCAAACUGGUGUCAGCAUCAGUGGUGUAGCCCAGAGAAUGAAGAACCACUGCAGAAGGACAACAAGGAGAGACACUACCUGGUGUAAACAAAUUUAUAAUUGUGAUUUGUUUAUACUUACUACCAAAAAGUGGUACAAUAACGUGUGGUCAACACUGAACAGCAGAACUUAUUAUUAGCCUGACUUCAAAGGAACAUUGGUCCUUAAAAACUGUGAAUUGACUGUUGCUAUGUUGAAAAAUACUGUGUGUAAGAUAUAGGGCAUAAAAAUCAUCAUUUGUAAUAAAAUGCGGUAAAAAAUAACAUAUGAAUAUGAAAUUAAAUGCAUUUUUUUCAAAAUAAUAAAAAGGUUUUUAUUGUCCUUAAGGUUUUUGCCCUUCAGUUUUUCACUUACUGACUUUUCACCAGCACAACAAUGUUUUGAGGCAAAAUGCUGGUUUUGCAGAGACAGUCUUUGCAUUCAUAAACUCCAACCCACAAAAAACACCUCUGAGACUUUGCAUUUCUACUUUGUAGAAAAACAGGUUUUGUUUUGCAUUUUUAAAACAAUGGUAAACAUUAAAAUGAAGCUGCUUUUUAGAAGGUGUGCCUUCAAUAUAGAUGUUUAGGGACAAUAUGGGCAUAAAAAUGGAAUUCUAUAGCCUGGUUUGGGGUGGUCUGGGUUCAUGAUGCAAGAGCUCUUCCUAAUUUUAUCUACAAAAUGAUGUAAUUGUUAUAAAAUCAUUGCCAGUCUCAAGUUCAUUUGAUUAGAUUAAUAGGGUUGAUUCUUAUCCUGCUGAUAGAAAAGUCCAUAGAAAAUUGGUCACUUCUUUUGAAUGAAAAAUGUGCUGAUCCAGUGUGUGAGAAAACAAAAGAGAAACCAGCUGAAGAAAAGCAAGACCAGCUACACUUGUCUAUCCAUUAGAAUGGGAACAGUUGUGGGGAAGAAGAGGACUAACACAGCUUCAUCUCCUGCCUCCCUGUUGUUCUGCGGAAUCUCUGUGGCCACUCCAGCUCUGAAAAGCAAAUGCAAAUAAGCUUUUUCUGCCAAACAACAGCUGGACGUGAACUUUGGAACCAUCCUGUUCUUCAAAUAUCUGUGCCUUGGGGAGUAUUUAGCAAGUACAGACUACAGGACAGGUCUAAAUUAGUUCCUCGUGUAUCAUGAUCUGUGUCCUCUAACUAGGUGGGACUAUAUUCUAUUCAGCUUUAAUGCCAACCUUUAAAACUACAUUAAUAACAAGGAUAGUGUGGAUUAAAAAAAAAAUUUCUUCCAGUAUUAUUAUGUAAUGUACUGUAAUAAAAUGAAUAGUGAUCCUCAAAAUUUUGCUGAGGUGACACCACAUGGAUAUUUACAGCAACACUCAAUGGAAGUCUAGCCUUCUUUGCACUUUCAUAUACCCAGAAGCCAUGGAUGUGAUGAGCAAAAUGUUGUUCAUCACCUGAUGGACAUUUAUUUGGCAUUGUGUUCCACAGAGACCCCAAACAUAUACUGCAGACACAUCAUGUAAGAGAAAUUUAUUUGGUGGAUACUCCUUUGUCCACAUGACAGGAAAAGGAGUACCAGAAAAAAUGAUAGUAAAGAUUGUUCUGUAGGCUGAACCUCAAUCCAUUCUGUUAGAAGUAAUUUGUGAACUUGUGACAUGAAGUAAUUUCAAAUCAUCAGGCUAUUUCUUAACUAUUACACUAUCUCUAACAGAUUUGAUUAGAACUGCUAUGCCAGAUUCAAAAGCUGAGCACUACAACUACUGGACGAAAAGCAGAAAACAACAAUCAGAAAGGCAGAGAGGGAAAGAGACAGUAGAGCAGAUGUUGAGAAAGAACUGGAAGGAAGGUAAUUAUUUCAUCCAAGAGCUCAAAGCCCUUGCAGGAGCACACCAGCCCUGAUGGAGGAGCCGCGAUGGCACUGCCAGCAUUGUCAGGAGACCAUCCCUCUGCAAGGAACUUGCUUUAGCCACAGGAGAUGGGCUCUUUUUUCUCAAGAGGAAAGAGUUGCAGACUACUAACCCAGUUUCACACUUAAGGAGUUUGGGCACCACUUGUUCAUGCCUGGUUUUAGUAAUAAUAAUAAUAAUAAUCAACAGCAGCAGGAGUGUGGUAAUAAUGAUAGCAUCUUUUUGCAAAUCUCUCAAAAAAUCAAGAUAGUUAAGAUUUGCGUAGGACUGAAUCAUGAAGUUCAAGCUAGUUCAUGUUCAAGGAGGGUAAUCCAUGUUUGACUCUUUCUUUCACAUAGUUUUUGAGUUGAAAAAGCAGUUUGUAAACUUAUUUCAGAAACAAACAUCAUAAAACAAUGUACAAAAUUCUGUUUGUUUGUUUUUUUCUUUGGCGAUCUGAACGUAUUUAUGCAACGACAGAGGCAGUCUACACAAAAGCUUUGACACCGCAAAUUUUAAGGAAAAUAUGUUUGUCUAGCUUUCACUUCUGAGUUAAUGUGCUGACAAAUAUCACUUUGCUUAAGAAGUUUUUUGCAUUGUUCUGGUUUAUGGUUGUGUGUAUUGGAAUAAUAUGUUUGUUUAUUUGUUUGUUUUAUUAUCCUCUUAGUUACCAGGAAGCUUAAUUAAACAGAAAAAAAGACAAUUAAAAUAAAGCAAGUCUGGACUUGAUAGGCCAUAUGUAGUGAUGCUGGGAAGAAGAGGAUAAAUUGCAGCUCUUUCCCAGCACAGGGCUCUGAGGAAGGCUACAUGGUGUUUCCACAAACAGCUCUCAUUAAAGCUUCCCCUUCUGAAGGCAGUGCCUGUUCCCAAACUGCGUUCUGUGUUCAGCCUGCCAAAUUAAUACAACAAACACAUCCGCUGCUCACAUCUGCCAUGGUCCUGGUGCCAAGUGGGGUAGGCAAGUGGAAGGAAUAUGGCUGAAGUCAUACACAUGCUUCAACUCCUAGAGGCAUGAGUCCUCAUAACAAGGCAACACGGAGAGAGCAGGUGUUCAUCUCUGUCCUUCCUGCUCAGCAUCUUCAGUCUCAGGCUUCCUUCCAGCCUGGACACGCCUGUCAUCAACCACAUACCCAGAGUCCUUUCAUGUACUCCAGGUCCUUUUCCCAAUCUUGCAAUAUUACCUUUGCCCAAGCCCUUUCAGUCUUCCCUGAGCCUUCCCAGUUGAAUUCCUCAUCCUUUUUACCAAAGUCCCACAUUCCAUUUUUCAUUGCUCCACGAGCAAUUUUUUGCCUCAUUUAUGGCAAAACUGAAGGCAAUAUUGAGUGAGGGCAAAACAGGAACUGGCAGAAGCAAAGGCGUUUGGUAAUUCUAAGUUAUCCUUGCAGAUAAACAGGCUGUUAACUGCUCACUUAGAUGGGUCUGUUGAAAUAGACCAGUAGGAACUCCCAUAGGAUAAACUUCUCUUUUGUGUUUCUAAUGUAUUUUAUCUGCCCUGGAAAAGUCUAAUGUAUUGCAGAUAUAGAUCUACCCCAGGCUUUUGUGUCAUCAGAUUUUCCAAAGACAACUGUCAGGUUUAAUCAGUUUUUUUACAGUACAAAACUUCCAAAGGAAAAGCCUGGCACUGUGAUUGUCAUGUGGCCCUUCCACAUGUGCCAGUCUGUAAACAGCCAGGCUCCUGAACCCAGGAGGCAACAAAGAAACAAACAAAAAACCCCAAUAAAACCAAUCCUUCAUAAGGAGAUAAGCAGAGACUGGUCUAUUGGGUCUGUGCCCUAUUUGAAGCGGUGGAUAAAACACACUCUGAUUAAAUUUGCCAUUAGUAUUGCCUUUUUUAUCAUAAAGAUUAUGAAGAAUAUCAUCAAGGCUUCUGAUUUUACUGACUUUUCCCUUCUACAACAUUCAGCUUUGCAAGAAGUCUCACUUCAUUCCCCCCAACUGUUCAGCUGUUGCAGGGCAGCAAUAGAAAAAGGAUAAUGGGGCAGAUAAUACGUUUCUCUCAGGAAAAUACAGUCAUAACCAUGAUUGAAAGUAAUGAGAUAUUGCACAUAGAUGCACAAGAGACAAUUAAUAUUCAGCCUUUCAAGCUAAUUGUAUAUUUUUUAAAUGGGACUAAUUUAAAGAAUAGCUUGACUUGAAUAUUAAAGAAAUUCCAAAACUUUUAUUCAAGUAAAAAAAAGGCUUAAAAAGACCCAGAGAAAUUUCAAAAUCCUUUAUUUUUCUGAGGGAAAAGUUUUGAAGAGCCUAAAGCCUACCUAUCUCUUUCACAGUCAGAGAGAUCUAAGUGCCAACAUUUCUUAGGCUUUUGAAGGUCUUCAUUAAAACUACAUAAGUAGGAACUAAUGAGCUGUCCCCCCACCUGCACUGCAGUUAGAAACAAUGUUGAAGUACAGCAUCCCUGUACCAAAACACUUCAGAGGUGGGAAGUUGUUUAAAAUCCUUUAGCUCAACUCAAUUGCUUGUGCCCAAAACCUUGGAGUAGGUGCAGUUAAUUUUUUUUCAUUAUACGGCCUGUAGUUCCAGGGAUCAGGCAGGAUUAUCAUAAUGAUUUUCUUGGACCUUAGUGUCCUUUAAUCCUGUCCGAAGCCCUCUGGUGCUUGACAUUUUCUUAUGAGGCUCUUUGCUUGCGCAGUGGUGUGUGCUCUCAGCAGAGACAGAGCUGUAGUGGUGCUCUUUAAAUAGAAGCACUUGCUUGCUUUGGCACAGAGCUGGUGGCUUAUGUCUUCUUUCGUCAGUCAUUUUGCCUCUCUAAACCUUAAGGCAGUUUUAUACAUGAAACAAUUAUAUGUGCUUGUUAUUUUAACUACUUUGUUGCCCAUGAUUUUAUUAUUGGGCAGAAAUAAAACUAAUGGCAACUGCUAGUAAGUGAGCAGGGCAGGACUGGAAUAGGAAGCUGGGAAAAAUCCCAGUCAGUCGAACAGUAACAGCAUUCAGAGAUAAGGUUUAUAGUCUGCCGGCUAUGGUUCUAUGGCAGCCUAACAACAGACUUAACAGUAAAAUGAGGGGAGAAAAAAUUAUGAACCCAUCAAUAAUGAGGGAAAUUCUUGAUGCAAAUGAACAUUUUUGUACUAACCAGUGAGGUUUCUGACUUCCAACACAAAAGUGUGUGCAAUGCCUGUUGUCAAACUCUUUCGCAGCCAUGCUGUGGCUGAUGCAGAUGGUAUUCUAAGAUUCGUGAUGACCAAGUGUUAAUAGUCCCUGCAUCAAGCUCAAAAUACUUUUUCUGUUGGGCUAGUAAGCAAAUCUUAGCUACAGAAAAAUGUUGUAGGUCAUAUAAACCUAAGUGAGGAUGAGCUGUGAAGAAACACUGAGUUUGUAUGUGUAAAUCUCAGGUGGCUGCCAACAAGAUUUACAUAAAAUAUUUAUAAUAUAUAAAGUUAUGUAUUUAUCACUUUAUUCCAUUUCUAAUUCCAGGCAUUUUUUUUCCCCUGCUGUAUUCUAGAAAAUCUUUUGAUUAUUGCUUGGUCAAUUAAAUAAACAAUAUAUAUAAAAAUAAAGGGUUUGUGGCUGGCUUAA